rnacentral:rRNA from 1 species
UACGUAGGGGGCAAGCGUUGUCCGGAAUUAUUGGGCGUAAGAGCGUGUAGGCGGCCAGAUAAGUCCGCUGUGAAAUCUCGAGGCUCAACUUCGAGCUGUCGGUGGAAACUGUCUGGCUAGAGUCCGGAAGAGGAGAAUGGAAUUCCUGGUGUAGCGGUGAAAUGCGCAGAUAUCAGGAAGAACACCCGUGGCGAAGGCGGUUCUCUGGGACGGUACUGACGCUGAGACGCGAAAGCCGUGGGGAGCGAACAGG